CCAAUAGCGUAUAUUAAAGUUGUUGCAGUUAAAAAGCUCGUAGUUGAAUUUCGGGAUUAAUUUACUGGUCGUGCUAUCGUACGUACUGGUUUUAUUGAUUCCUACCUUCUGACGAACCAUGAUGCCAUUAAUUUGGUGUCUUGGGGAAUCAGGACUGUUACUUUGAAAAAAUUAGAGUGUUUAAAGCAGGCUCACGCUUGAAUACAUUAGCAUGGAAUAACGAAAUAGGACGUUUGAUUCUAUUUUGUUGGUUUCUAGAAUCGACGUAAUGAUUAAUAGGGAUAGUUGGGGGCAUUAGUAUUCAAUUGUCAGAGGUGAAAUUCUUGGAUUUAUUGAAGACUAACUACUGCGAAAGCAUUUGCCAAGGAUGUUUUCAUUAAUCAAGAACGAAAGUUAGGGGAUCGAAGACGAUCAGAUACCGUCGUAGUCUUAACCAUAAACUAUGCCGACUAGGGAUCGGAUGAUGUUAAUUUUUUAAUGACUCA
rnacentral:rRNA from 1 species